CUCCACGCGGCCCACGCUGCCCCCGGGUGGUCGCCGUGCACUCUCUGUCUCAAGGUAGGCCAGCUCCGGACUCGCCAGGAGCUGAUUCUGAUCCAUCUGGUUUUGCUGUGUCUCUGUUUAGGUCCAGCCCCCGGAAACACACACCCGCAGCCCGACCACGCCACGAUUGAAGCCCCGGGUCAAAGUGGUUCGGGUGACCGCACUCGCUUCUCGCAACGCCGCCCCCCUGCGGCGUAGGGAACCCCAUCCUGUCCAGAGCGGCCUGUGGCGUGGUGAGUGCAGGCUUUUCUCCACAACUUGGUUCUUUUCAGAUUCAUCAAAGAUUGCGCAACAAACCUUGAUCUUUGGCAAAGGCGCUCUGGUCUCAGUAAAUGCUGAAGUCCUAAAACCACGAGAGGAAAUGGGUGCGUCGGAGCCUGAAACCAGGGCGAACACGCCACGUGCUCCCGGAUCUUCAGAGCCACUGGCUGCAGAUCUGGUACUGCGGGCUGCUCAGGGCCCUGGUGUUCCUCCCAGGCAGCAGGACCUUGGCUUCUGGUCUGAGUGAGGGGCGUGCUUCCUCUCCUGCUCAGAAUUGAAUACCGGCUGACCCCAGUGAUCACUCCAGCUCUUUGAAGCUAACAUCAGCCCACCUGCUCCCUGUAAACAGUAAUACACGGACAGUACCUAUAGCAUAAACGUGAUAGGGGUUCCUUUGACGAAGACAUGACACGGGUAAGGAGAUGGCCUUUACUCCUCUUCCUGCUCUCCCACCGUAGAGGAUGUGGUUACCACUUUAAGACCAUGAUUUAGUAAAGGACCUGUCUGUCCCAUGAGAAACCCAUUGCUGGGUCCAGCAAUCCCCUGGAUUUCCACGGUACCAGCCAAGUUCCUGCAAAUUAGGUAAAACCCUACAGCUGGGGGGAAGGGGGCGAUCCUUGGUUCAUCAGGUAAGUUUGUAUACAUCCUGCUACCACACUUUCAAAACAAGAAUGAAGUACACCUCCUCCCCAGAGCCCCCAACCAGUAUCCCUAAGCAGCUUCUGGAGAGUCCUCUGAAGGUUCUAACCCGGUGUCGGUGUCGUCACCCUCCUCCCCAGCCUGGCUCCUCACUAAAGGACUCCCAGGACCCCAAAAGACAUCAUUCUACUGAGGGUUCAGACUGCUUCUUAGAAGCAGAAGUGAGAGGUUUGGAGGGACGCAAUACCAACGUCCAAGGAGGCUACCCUCAGCCACUAAAAAAAGAAAAGAAAAAAUCACUCCAGGUUUGUCAAGUGUUCUCUCUCUGUAGGUUGGAAUGUUCAUCUCUUCAUGAUGGUGUGCCAGGAUGCAUAAAUGGUACCAUGUGAUGAGAAAGAAGUGGCUUUGAAAGAAGCAGCCAUCAGAAGAGACCAAGAAGACAGAGGAAAGGACUCUGAGGGGAACGUACAUGCUCCUUCUAUCACCACCUUUCCCUUGGGGUGUGCGUGUGUGUGUGUGUGUGUGUGUGUGUAUGUGUGUGUAGCUUGUGUGUGUGUGCACUUGCCUGUGGUAGCUUGUGUGUGUGUGUGCACUUGCCUGUGGUAGCUUGUGUGUGUGUGUAUACUUGCUUGUGGUAGCUUUGUGUGUGUGUGUGUAUGUGUGUAUACUUGCCUGUGGUAGCUUGUGUGUGUGUGUGUGUGUGCACUUGCCUGUGGUAGCUUGUGUGUGUGUGUGUGUGUAUGUGUGUGUGUGUGUGUGUGCACUUGCCUGUGGUAGCUUGUGUGUGUGUGUGUGUGUGUGUGCACUUGCCUGUGGUAGCUUGUGUGUGUGUGUGUGUGUGUGCACUUGCCUGUGGUAGUUUGUAAAUAUCAGAGGCUGAGAGGCUGAUUUCAGGAUAUCCUCUUUAAUCCUCUCUCAAACCUUUUUGUUGUUAUUUUGUUUGUUUGUUUGUUUGUUUGUUUGUGGGUAGUUUGUUUUGUUUUUUCAAGACGGUGAUUUUCUGUGUAGCCCUGGCUGUUCUGGACACUCAAAGACCUGCCUGUCUCUGCCUCCCAAGGGCUGGGAUUAAAGGAUUUAAAUCUCUUGACCCAUGUGAACGGCUGAUGUGCAGCUGCAAUCCCAGCACCCCCAUCGGCCAGUACACAGUGCACCAGCAGUAAUGAGAGAGACCCCGCUUCAAAAAAGCAAGGGAACCUGUGCCAGCCACCUCCACUCUGCACACCAGACUUCCCUUCAUCAUAAAGUCAGUUAGCCCCGGAGGAUCCCAACAGUGAAAUCCAGAAGACUCGAAUUAAGGUUCAGGAGGCUGACUGAGUCACACAGAGGAUCUAUAUCAUCCCAAUGUCACCAAUUUCUUGAUGCACCCAUGGAUUCUUUGGGAUAGUGGCUGUGUAUGUCAAGCUGGCCAGCCUCUGGUGUCCGCAGACCGGUCAGAUGCCAAGCAGAUAUUGUUGCAAAGGUGUUUUUGAAGAUGAGGUUGCAUCUCCACACCAGUAUUGUAAAGCAGACCACUGUACAAAUUAUGGUGUAAGUUCCAUGCCAGGUGGCUCCACAGAAGUCUUGCGGCCUUGGAGCUCAAAGAAGCUGCUGCCGGGACAAAGGCAACAGACUCCCUGUGUGCACCACAGGGCCACUUCACAAGGCUUGUUAUUGAGGGCAUCAGGUGAGGAACUGUGAAACCCAAGUGAUCAGAGCCCCUUCAGGAAAGAGCAGCUUUCUUGGCGCUGAAGAAAGCCUGGCUCACACUCACUAAUUACUGGGCUUAGCCACGCCCAUCCUCCUCCCGCUCUUCUCAUUACCUGAACAAGCAAGAGGUAAUUACAGAAGCCAAGCCUCAGCGCCUUCUAGAGAAUGCUGUCAUUCCUGUGACAGGCAAACACCCAUGGCACUGUGUCCAGAUAAGCACGGCAUACUCGCUGGCCAGUUUUUCUCACCCUUAAUGUCUCUUCCAGAUUCACAAAAUGGUUGGUUUUAGAAUUACAGAUAUGA
rnacentral:lncRNA from 1 species